UGGGAUAGCUGAGUUAUUAAGAGCAUGAACUCAUAAUUUCAAGGUCAUGGGUUCAAGCCCCACAUUGGGCAAAA